rnacentral:rRNA from 1 species
GACGAACGCUGGCGGCGUGCCUAAUACAUGCAAGUUGAGCGCUGAAGGUUGGUACUUGUACCAACUGGAUGAGCAGCGAACGGGUGAGUAACGCGUGGGGAAUCUGCCUUUGAGCGGGGGACAACAUUUGGAAACGAAUGCUAAUACCGCAUAAAAACUUUAAACACAAGUUUUAAGUUUGAAAGAUGCAAUUGCAUCACUCAAAGAUGAUCCCGCGUUGUAUUAGCUAGUUGGUGAGGUAAAGGCUCACCAAGGCGAUGAUACAUAGCCGACCUGAGAGGGGGAUCGGCCACAUUGGGACUGAGGCACGGCCCAAACUCCUACGGGAGGCAGCAGUAGGGAAUCUUCGGCAAUGGACGAAAGUCUGACCGAGCAACGCCGCGUGAGUGAAGAAGGUUUUCGGAUCGUAAAACUCUGUUGGUAGAGAAGAACGUUGGUGAGAGUGGAAAGCUCAUCAAGUGACGGUAACUACCCAGAAAGGGACGGCUAACUACGUGC